rnacentral:sRNA from 1 species
AUAAUAAUUUUGAAUAUGACAUUUAUACUGCCUUUCCUAAAACAAAGGCAUAGAAAAUUUGUUACUUUGAAUAUUUUUCAAAGUACGUAAAGGAUUUCAGAUGUAGAAUUUCAACUUUGUUGACUUACCGGAAUCCCAUAAUUUGCACAUCGAGGAACUCAUUUUGAAUAGAAUUCAUCAAGGAGGCCAAUAGCUGGAAUUAAAAUGUGAAAUAUUUUUCGUGACGCGAUGUGAGAUUCUGGAAAAUUGGUGACGUAGGAUCGGUGAGAGCGUCGUUCCAUGCCUCGUUAAGGGAGAGAUCACCGAUGAACACAACAGGGGCUAGUGUAAAACAAAACAUCAACAUGGCGCAAUCUGUGCCCAAAAGAAGAAUGUAACUUCUCUGCGAGUACUCUUUAAAGAUGAUUGAAGAAGGUUGCAAUGAAUGAUUCAAACGAUCAUAUUCAAACCUACUAAUUCUACUUUACUUAUUAUAAUUCUAAUCACUGCAUCACCCAAACACCUACUUGAGAUUUGGACACUUAAUUUGAUUCACGAUAUAAAAAAUUCAAUUCAACUA